rnacentral:snRNA from 1 species
GUGCUCACUUCGGCAGCACAUAUACUAAAAUUGGAACGAUACAGAGAGGAUAAGCAUGGCCCCUGCGCAAGGCUGACAUGCAAAUUCAUGAAGCGUUCCAUAAUUUA